ACUCAACACUAUAUAAUUAUAAAGGGUGAGUUAAUUCUGUUAAAUCGUGCUAUAUUAUGAUAGAUUUUUGAUCAGAGUUGUAGCCCUAAUCCUGUUUAAAUGGAGUUU
rnacentral:sRNA from 1 species